rnacentral:rRNA from 1 species
GGCCCAGACUCCUACGGGAGGCAGCAGUGGGGAAUAUUGCACAAUGGGCGAAAGCCUGAUGCAGCGACGCCGCGUGAGGGAUGACGGCCUUCGGGUUGUAAACCUCUUUCAGUAGGGAAGAAGCGAAAGUGACGGUACCUGCAGAAGAAGCACCGGCUAACUACGUGCCAGCAGCCGCGGUAAUACGUAGGGUGCGAGCGUUAUCCGGAAUUAUUGGGCGUAAAGAGCUCGUAGGCGGUUUGUCGCGUCUGUCGUGAAAGUCCGGGGCUUAACCCCGGAUCUGCGGUGGGUACGGGCAGACUAGAGUGCAGUAGGGGAGACUGGAAUUCCUGGUGUAGCGGUGGAAUGCGCAGAUAUCAGGAGGAACACCGAUGGCGAAGGCAGGUCUCUGGGCUGUAACUGACGCUGAGGAGCGAAAGCAUGGGGAGCGAACAGGAUUAGAUACCCUGGUAGUCCAUGCCGUAAACGUUGGGCACUAGGUGUGGGGACCAUUCCACGGUUUCCGCGCCGCAGCUAACGCAUUAAGUGCCCCGCCUGGGGAGUACGGCCGCAAGGCUAAAACUCAAAGGAAUUGACGGGGGCCCGCACAAGCGGCGGAGCAUGCGGAUUAAUUCGAUGCAACGCGAAGAACCUUACCAAGGCUUGACAUGUUCUCGAUCGCCGUAGAGAUACGGUUUCCCCUUUGGGGCGGGUUCACAGGUGGUGCAUGGUUGUCGUCAGCUCGUGUCGUGAGAUGUUGGGUUAAGUCCCGCAACGAGCGCAACCCUCGUUCCAUGUUGCCAGCACGUAAUGGUGGGGACUCAUGGGAGACUGCCGGGGUCAACUCGGAGGAAGGUGAGGACGACGUCAAAUCAUCAUGCCCCUUAUGUCUUGGGCUUCACGCAUGCUACAAUGGCCGGUACAAUGGGUUGCGAUACUGUGAGGUGGAGCUAAUCCCAAAAAGCCGGUCUCAGUUCGGAUUGGGGUCUGCAACUCGACCCCAUGAAGUCGGAGUCGCUAGUAAUCGCAGAUCAGCAACGCUGCGGUGAAUACGUUCCCGGGCCUUGUACACACCGCCCGUCAAGUCACGAAAGUUGGUAACACCCGAAGCCGGUGGCCUAACCCUUGUGGGGGAGCCGUCGAAG